rnacentral:rRNA from 1 species
GUAGGUGAACCUGCGGAGGGAUCAUUACAGAGUUGCAAAACUCCCUAAACCAUUGUGAACGUUACCUAAACCGUUGCUUCGGCGGGCGGCGCCGGGGUUUACCCCCCGGGCGCCCCUGGGCCCCACCGCGGGCGCCCGCCGGAGGUCACCAAACUCUUGAUAAUUUAUGGCCUCUCUGAGUCUUCUGUACUGAAUAAGUCAAAACUUUCAACAACGGAUCUCUUGGUUCUGGCAUCGAUGAAGAACGCAGCGAAAUGCGAUAAGUAAUGUGAAUUGCAGAAUUCAGUGAAUCAUCGAAUCUUUGAACGCACAUUGCGCCCGCCAGUAUUCUGGCGGGCAUGCCUGUUCGAGCGUCAUUUCAACCAUCAAGCCCCGGGCUUGUGUUGGGGACCUGCGGCUGCCGCAGGCCCUGAAAAGCAGUGGCGGGCUCGCUGUCACACCGAGCGUAGUAGCAUACAUCUCGCUCUGGGCGUGCUGCGGGUUCCGGCCGUUAAACCACCUUUUAACCCAAGGUUGACCUCGGAUCAGGUAGGAAGACCCGCUGAACUUAAGCAUAUCAAUAA